GACGAUGCAGAGGGCUGUAAGUGUGGUGGCCCAUCUGGGCUCUCGCCUGCAGGCAUUCUCCCCGGCCUUGUGUCGUCCAUUUAGUUGCGCACAGGACACCGCUGUAUGACUUCCACCUGGCCCACGGCGGGAAAAUGGUGGCGUUUGCGGGUUGGAGUCUGCCAGUGCAGUACCGGGACAGUCACACUGACUCGCACCUGCACACACGCCAGCACUGCUCGCUCUUUGACGUGUCUCAUAUGCUGCAGACCAAGAUACUUGGUAGUGACCGGGUGAAGCUGAUGGAGAGUCUAGUGGUUGGAGACAUUGCAGAGCUAAGACCAAACCAGGGGACACUGUCGCUGUUUACCAACGAGGCUGGAGGCAUCUUAGAUGACUUGAUUGUAACCAGUACUUCUGAGGGCCACCUGUAUGUGGUGUCCAACGCUGGCUGCUGGGAGAAAGAUUUGGCCCUCAUGCAGGUAUACCCCCUCUGUGUUCUAGGCACCUUGUCUUCCUUGUUCAUAGAGCAGCAUCCUUGUUAUCCAAGACAGGGUUGGCACAGACAAAGGACCUGGAAAAUGGCUCUUUCAGUGAAUGAACAGCUAUGAGACUCAAGAGCAGGCCCUCUCUGGAGCAUGCCAGGGUUUGGUGGUGGGGGAUUACCAGGCAUGGGGAGGGGGUCUUGGCCCCUCUGGUGUGAGGUGGCAGACCUGGGCUUGGGUCAUCUCUAUCACUUAGUAGCUAUGUGACCUUGUAAGAUGGGAACCAGCCUACUACCUUUUUUUCCUCCCUCCUCCUCCUCCUCUCCACUGUCUUACUACUGUCCAGCUCUGCAGCGUCCAGCCCAUGGUAGCUGCUCAGUAAGUGGCCCCAGAUGCUCUUGUGUUUCUGUCUUUUAGGACAAGGUCAGGGAGCUUCAGAACCAGGGCAGAGAUGUGGGCCUGGAGGUGUUGGAUAAUGCCCUGCUAGCUCUGCAAGGUGAGAGGGCUGGGCUGGGGUUGGAGCCAACCUUUGCCUUCCUGGCUUUAUUGACUGCUUAGCACAGAGGCCAUACCAAGAAGAAGGUGUGGAAGGUGUGAUAUUUGUGUGCCAUAAUUUUAAGUUUGGUAUCUUGCCCUCCUCCUACCUACCACAAGGCUCCAUGGGCUAGAGACAAGGGCAUCUUCUCCCACUUGCAGAGUAAGACGUGCUCAGGGCUUGUUCUAGUCCCUGAAUAAGGCUUUAGUCCAGGUUUGAGGGAUGCUGGGACCUGGAUACUUGGUCACUGGCUCCCUGGGCCCAGGCCCCACUGCAGCCCAGGUACUACAGGCCGGCGUGGCAGAUGACCUGAGGAAACUGCCCUUCAUGACCAGUGCUGUGAUGGAGGUGUUUGGCGUGUCUGGCUGCCGUGUGACCCGCUGUGGCUACACAGGAGAGGAUGGUGUGGAGAUCUCGGUGCCGGUAGCGGGGGCAGUUCACCUGGCAACAGCUCUUCUGAAAAACCCAGAGGUGAAGCUGGCAGGGCUGGCAGCCAGGGACAGCCUGCGCCUGGAGGCAGGCCUCUGCCUGUACGGGAAUGACAUUGAUGAACACACUACACCUGUGGAGGGCAGCCUCAGUUGGACACUGGGGAAGCGCCGCCGAGCUGCUAUGGACUUCCCUGGAGCCAAAGUCAUUGUUCCCCAGCUGAAGGGCAAGGUGCAGCGGAGGCGUGUGGGGUUGAUGUGUGAGGGGGCCCCCAUGCGGGCACACAGUCCCAUCCUGAACAUGGAGGGUACCAAGAUUGGUACUGUGACUAGUGGCUGCCCCUCGCCCUCUCUGAAGAAGAAUGUGGCGAUGGGUUAUGUGCCCUGCGAGUACAGUCGUCCAGGGACAAUGCUGCUGGUAGAGGUGCGGCGGAAGCAGCAGAUGGCUGUAGUCAGCAAGAUGCCCUUUGUGCCCACAAACUACUAUACCCUCAAGUGAAGCUGGCUCAGGGUGGGGCUGUCCCUUCCAGAAGUUUUGCCCCUACAAGGGGUUAGUCAAGAAGCUGAGGCAGAACUCACUGGGGGUGGGCAGUUAAGGUGGAGGCUGAUUCUAAUUGUCUGGCUGAGGGGCCACACCACCUAUUCCCCCCACCUAACUCAUGCCACUCCAGCUUCCUUCAGGACCCUGCUUCUGAGUGACGGACCAGCUCACACAAUGUCUUGUUUCAGUCCAUGAUCCCACUGACCUACUCUUGCCUGCUGGAGGGUAAUGAGAAGCUUUGGUUCUGCCAUCUCUCCCACUCUGCCAGGUGCUGGCUGUGGAGCAAAGGCUCACCUUUGUGGGGAGGAUAAAACCUGCCCAACCUACCUCACCAUGGUUUUUCACAUUGCAAACGGUAAUAACAUGGGCAGUGUGGACUUAGGCUACCCCCUCCAGUUUGCUUUCCGUAAAUGCAAAUUGUCCCUACUGCAAGUCAGGAAUGAUUGCCGACUCACAGUAGGGCUGCUAUGCCUGUGUGUAAACUUGGGGAUGGCUGAGGGAACACAGACUCACUCUUCCGCAUUCCCAAGUUGGUCUAGUGUGCUGCCCAGUAGCAAACCAUGGCAGGCUCACCACCUAUUCUGAGCUCCAGGGCUGUUGUAGGGCAGGGUGGGCUUCCUCCCAGACUUGCCUUACCCUGGGCUGAUCUUUGCCCCUGGUAUGCAUUAAUGGACUCCACUGAAUCCUGAAAAAAAAUUAAACUUCC
rnacentral:sRNA from 1 species